GAAAUGCGAUAAGUAAUGUGAAUUGCAGAAUUCAGUGAAUCAUCGAAUCUUUGAACGCACAUUGCGCCCGCCAGUUUUCUGGCGGGCAUGCCUGUUCGAGCGUCAUUUCAACCAUCAAGCCCCCGGGCUUGUGUUGGGGACCUGCGGCUGCCGCAGGCCCCGAAAACCAGUGGCGGGCUCGCUGUCACACCGGGCGUAGUAGAUUUUUCGUCUCGCCCAGGGCGUGCUGCGGGUUCCGGCCGUUAAAAAGCCUCUCUUUUAAACCAAGGUUGACCUCGGAUCAGGUAGGAAGACCCGCUGAACUUAAGC
rnacentral:misc_RNA from 1 species